GUAGGUGGCAAGCGUUGUCCGGAAUUAUUGGGCGUAAAGCGCGCGCAGGCGGGGUCCUUUAAGUCUGAUGUGAAAGCCCACGGGCUCAACCGUGGAGGGUCAUUGGAAACUGGGGGACUUGAGUACAGAAGAGGAAAGCGGAAUUCCAAGUGUAGCGGUGAAAUGCGUAGAGAUUUGGAGGAACACCAGUGGCGAAGGCGGCUUUCUGGUCUGUAACUGACGCUGAGGCGCGAAAGCGUGGGGAGCAAACAGGAUUAGAUACCCUGGUAGUCCACGCCGUAAACGAUGAGUGCUAAGUGUUAGGGGGUUUCCGCCCCUUAGUGCUGCAGCCAACGCAUUAUGCACUCCGCCUGGGGAGUACGGCCGCAAGGCUG
rnacentral:rRNA from 1 species